rnacentral:lncRNA from 1 species
GCGCUGUGGAACCGCCUCCUGCUAGAGCAGCGGGCUGGCGACGGUCCUCGCCGGGGCGGGAAGCGGCUCAGGCUGCCCUCGCUGGCCUGCGGCGGCGCGGCUGGAAGCGCGGGCCACUCGUGCGUGGGUCACUCAGGACUGCGCCUCGCGCGACUGUGUGUGCAGGAAACAAGCAGGAAAUACCCUAAAAGAGAAUGAAGCGCCAUGUUGAGGGUCGCGGACGUCGCGAGUGCUGUGGGAAUGUGGGCUGAGGUGGAGAGUUAUGGUAGCCCGUGUUACAGGCUCAGGGGUCUGAAAGAAGCCUAAUCGUGGAGGCGGCAUCUGAGGAGGGUCUUGAAGGCUGGGCAGGCAUUUGCCCGACAGAGAUGGAGGAAGCUAGUCCUGUCUGAUGGAGGAAACAGGGCGGAGGCGUGGAGGGAGCCGUGCAGCGCUGGUGUGAGGAGCAGCGAGCAGGCCAGGCCUGUAAAGCAGAGUGAGGGAACCAGGAUAGAGAAGGCAAGUCGGGGUCCUGUGGUCGCUGAAGAAUUUGAAUGAAAUCAGUAAACAGGUGAGAGGGAUCCAUCGCAAGAGCAUGGGAUGAAAGGAGGAGUAGUCCACGGUGAUUCCUCUGCAGCGGUGGGUGUUAUUAAUCGCGUAUGUGACACCAAAACCACCCCACUCAAGCUGUGGCUCUUUCCCUAAAGUAGAAAACCGAGACCAGUUGGGUUCCAAGCAUCCACGAAGAUCUUAUUAAAUUCGUGAUCCCUGGUGGCACCAUGGAGUCAGGAUUGGCUCAUCUCAAACCUGACUCAGAAACAAAACCGUCACAAUGUGCAGAGAUGAGCGUCCUUACCGCUAUCAACGUAUUUUCUGGUGUUUUCACAGUGCUGCGCUUCCUAAUCCCCAUUCCAUGGCAAUCCACAUGCCAUGAUGCCCGGAGUCAUUAACAAAGGAGACACACAGGGGCUCCUCACGUUGGCUUUCCAGGGUUUUGAUGAAAAUCUGUUUCCUCGUCUCAUACAAUGUGGCUGUACAGGAAGCAUGGUGAUGGCAUCUGCAUGGCGCCUGUGGAGGCCCCAGGGAGCUUUUACUCAUGAUGGAAGGCACAGAGGGAGUAGGCACAUCACAUGGUCCGAGGAGGAGCAAGAGAAAAUGGGAGUGGGGCUCUUUGUCCUGGGAAGAGUUUGCUGCAUCUUCCAGUUUCAGUAAUCAAAGAAGCAAAGUUCCCUGCAGUUCUUCAAGGAACCUUGAGAAUUCAGAAGGUCUUGGGGUGGCUGCAUCCAUCCUGCAGACAAAUGCCAAUCAGCAGAGGGGCCAUUCCCAGGGACACAUGUCUGGCUGACUUGGGCCUUGGCCAGGUAAGACACACAGCAUGCAUGCCUGCAUUUCUGAAUGCCAUAGACCUGACAAGUCAUAAAAUAGCAACCAAUAAUUUUAUGUUAGAGUGCUCCCUUCCUCACAGAAAUCUCAGCAUAUGUGAAGAUAGGUUGGAAUGUGUAAAGAAAAGCUAAGAAAGCAGAUUUCUGAUAAGAACAGCGUGUGACUUGUACAGCAGCUCUGAAUUACAGCCCGUAGGAUGGAAUGCUGACAGUUCCUUCUUCCUUACCUGUGAUGGCUAGAAUUUUAUUUAGCACAUCGUUUUUGAGCCAAUCUCAAAAUGAGAAAACUUUUGAGGAAUUAUGCAUAGUG